UAAGUACAUAGGUGUCCACACACAACAGAUUAUCACAGUGUGCUCUUCGCAGUCACAGAGCACAGAAGUCCUCACCAUGGAAUGGACCUGGAUCAUCUUCCUGGCAUCUGCAUCUAUAUGUGUCCAGUCCCAGAUCCUGCUACAUCAGUCUGGGACUGAGCUUAAGAGCUCGGGGUCUUCAGUGAAGAUGUCCUGCAAGGCUUCUGGCUACACUUUCACUGACUAUAAUAUUAACUGGAUGAAGCAGAGAUCUGGAGAGGGCCUAGAGUGGAUUGGAUAUAUUAUUCCUAGUAAUGGUGGUACUGGCUAUGCACAGAAGUUCCAGGGCAAGACCAUAUUGACUGCAGACAAAUCCUCCAGCACAGCCUAUAUGGAACUCAGUAGCCUGAGAUAUGAGGACUCUGUGGUUUAUUACUGUGCCAGACCACAGUGUUACAACCACAUCCUGAGCAUGUUAGAAACCCUGAAGGAGCAGGAAGCUGCCUUUGAUUUAAAUAACAGAGAAUAUUAGCCUGGAGACUUACAA